GCUGACAUAUCCCGGCCAAUCUCCAGCAGACCCUCCCUCCCAGACCCUUCCACCUCCUGGACAGCAUCCAUGUUGAAGCUGCCUUCACAACAUGGAUGCUGUCCAGGAGGUGGGAGGGUCUGGAAGGGAGGGUCUGCUGGAGAUUGGCCGGGAUAUGUCAG